rnacentral:rRNA from 1 species
UACGGGGGGGGCAAGCGUUGUUCGGAAUUACUGGGCGUAAAGGGCUCGUAGGCGGCUAACUAAGUCCGACGUGAAAUCCCCAGGCUUAACCUGGGAACUGCGUCGGAUACUGGAUGGCUUGAAUCCGGGAGAGGGAUGCGGAAUUCCAGGUGUAGCGGUGAAAUGCGUAGAUAUCUGGAGGAACACCGGUGGCGAAGGCGGCGAUCCUGGACCGGCAU